UGUCAGCUCUGUGAGAAUCCUUAAUCAUUUAGGUACUUAAUUGGCUCUGAGGAAUCCAACAAGGAAUCCAACUUUUCUCCUGCUAAAAGCAAUCAGAGCCCAGGGGUUGGAUUGCAUCUCCCCUUUCUGAUGGAUUGAAUCCAUCCGCCCUUUCCCAAGGUUUUUAUUUGCUGUUGUCUGCUUUCUUGGCUCAGGUGUCCGGCAGCAGGAGGUACCUACAUGGUUCUGAAGUUCUCCUUUCCCAGGAUCUUGUACUCCUGGCAGACUUUCUCCCGGACAUAAGCUUUCCCUGAAAGUGCAGGAGGAGGAGGAAUUGUGAGUAGGGAACAAGGAACGCUCUGCCACCACAGGGCACGCUGCUUAAUUCACUUGGGAUUUGUUCAUUUUUUUUCACUCCAUUGCUUCUUUUUCCAAGGAGGAUUUGGUGGUCCCUGGGGAGAUGUUGGCACAGCCGGUCUGGGAGAAGCAUCCCUGCUAUCCAGGCUGCUGCUCCAGCCCCGCAGCCAGGGAACGGAGCAGGGAGAAAACCCUUCCUGGAGCUGGGAGAGCUACAGGUGGGGAUUCCCUGUGGAGCUGAGGAGGCAGCCAAGGGUGGCAGAGCAUCAUUCCCACCCAGGGGUGAGUUUUACAGGAAUGGUGCUUGCCAGGGGGUCAGGAAAUCCCAUUUUCCUCUAGAAAGAGAUGGACCCCAUCCCUGUGGCUCUGUCCUCUCCCCCUCCCACCCCCUCCAGCA